rnacentral:lncRNA from 1 species
CUUAUUUCAGAAUCAGAGGCAAAAGAAGGAGGAGAGAUAAUGAAGGGCAGAGAGGAGGAAAAUCUGGGGAACAUUAGCACAUAAACCAAAUAAUGUGGAGCUUCGUAAUAACUUAGUUUAAUUGGUUUGUUGAUUGAUACCUGAUAAUAAUCGAUCAUUAUUAAUUUUGAGAUCAUUUCAUUUAUACUUUUUCUCUCCACCACAUAAUGUCUCACCGAACAGCAAAGAUGAGCACUGUGUUUAGGGCCUUUGGCAACUCAAAGCAUGUUUCUUAUUGCAGAUCAUCUCUCAAGACGCAGAGCACUUUUAAUGCGGUGAACAAUUCUCAGAAACAUGAGAGUCAAGGACGUGUUGCUGAAUGGUAACAUUUAUAUAGUGCUUCUCGGAGGACUUAGGCUUCACUCCAGCCCUUCUGAACUGGACCCAUAACAACAGGUUGGUCAAUUUAUCAGAAUAAGACACUUCAGUACAUUGAAGAAUCACUAUCAAUAUUUACACUCAGCAGCAAAAUUAAAUUGGACCGCCAUCCAAAUAAGGACUUCACAUAAUACCUGUCAAAGGAGUAGUCUGAAUAAAAUAAUAUUAGUAGCAAACCCGAGUUUACCAUUACGGGCUUACACUGAAAAUAACAAACGUGAAGC